GGCAGCUCGCGGUGGAUUACCACAACUCAUCUAGUGCCCACGCCAACCAUCACCACGCCGGACGCAGCUCUUCACACUCAGCAGACCCACUGCCCUCGUGCAUCACGCUGAGGUCAUCCCCCGCCUGGAUGAAAGGAGAUGACAAGAGGAGCAAUGUGGAAGACACGCGUGGUAUUCGUCACUGUUUUCACCUGCGUCUUCCUGACCAGCCAUGCUUCUCAAAUCGAGAGCACAACAAGUAGAAGAGACAUCCAUGAAGAUAGCGGAGAUAUUAACCAAGGUCUGUAUUCUGAAACUUUUCCAGGUGUUAUCUCCACUACUUCUGACAGAUUGUAGCAGUUACUGAGAGUUUUCAGGG